rnacentral:rRNA from 1 species
GAUGAACGCUGGCGGCGUGCCUAAUACAUGCAAGUCGAGCGAACGGACGAGAAGCGUGCUCCUCUGAUGUUAGCGGCGGACGGGCGAGUAACACGUGGAUAACCUACCUAUAAGACUGGGAGAACUACGGGAAACCGUAGCUAAUACCGGCUAAUAUUUUGAACCGCAUGGUUCAAAAGUGAAAGACGGUCGUGCGGUCACUUAUAGAUGGAUCCGCGCUGCAUUAGCUAGUGGGUAAGGUAACGGCUUACCAAGGGAACGAUGCAUAGCCGACCUGAGAGGGUGGUCGGCCACCCUGGAACUGAGACACGGUCCAGACUCCUACGGGAGGCAGCAGUAGGGAAUCUUCCGCGAUGGGCGAAAGCCUGACGGAGCAACGCCGCGUGAGUGCUGACGGUCCUCGGAUCGUAGAGCUCUGUUAUUAGGGAAAAACAUAUGUGUAAGUAACUGUGAACAUCUUGACGGUACCUAAUCAGAAAGCCCCGGCUAACUACGUG